rnacentral:snRNA from 1 species
UGGUUCGUAUUCGCUGAGCA